rnacentral:lncRNA from 1 species
UGCGUAAUAAGUGUGAGGAGUCAAGCUAGAGACUUAAAACAAGCUCACUUGGGAGGAAGUCCCAUGACUAUCUCUGUAAAUAAUUUUUCCUUUCUUGUUAUUUUUUAUUUGUUUUGGUUGUAUUUGUGGUUCUCAGGAAUGGAGAAACAAUCUGGAGAUAGAGUAAAAAUUCAAAAAUUUUACUCUACCAAGGACCUUGUGAUC